UACGUAGAAGACUAGUGUUAUUCAUCUUUAUUAGGUUUAAAGGGUACCUAGACGGGGAUAUUAGCCUAAAUAAUCCACAGGGUACGAUAUUCCUAGAGUUUUUAUAUGAGAAGGUAGAAUUUACAGAGUAGAGAUAAAAAUUCUUUUGAUACUGUAAAAGAAAAGGUAAAGGCGAAGGCAACCUUCUAUCUAAAAACUGACGUUGAGGGACGAAGGCCCGGGUAACGAAAAGG
rnacentral:rRNA from 1 species